AAAAUGACUCUCGGCAACGGAUAUCUCGGCUCUCGCAUCGAUGAAGAACGUAGCGAAAUGCGAUACUUGGUGUGAAUUGCAGAAUCCCGUGAACCAUCGAGUUUUUGAACGCAAGUUGCGCCCAAAGCCAUUAGGCUAAGGGCACGUCUGCCUGGGCGUCACGCAUCACGUCGCCC
rnacentral:rRNA from 2 species